UACAGAGGGUGCGAGCGUUGUUCUGAAUCAUUGGGCGUAAAGCGCUUGUAGGCGGCCUGUCAAGUCGCGUGUGAAAUCCCCUGGCUUAACCAGGGAAGUGCGCGCGAAACUGGCGGGCUUGAGUGCCGGAGAGGGUCGCGGAAUUCCCGGUGUAGAGGUGAAAUUCGUAGAUAUCGGGAGGAACACCAGUGGCGAAGGCGGCGACCUGGACGGACACUGACGCUGAGACGCGAAAGCGUGGGGAGCAAACAGG
rnacentral:rRNA from 1 species